rnacentral:rRNA from 1 species
GGCUCAGGAUGAACGCUAGCUACAGGCUUAACACAUGCAAGUCGAGGGGAAACGAUAGAGAAAGCUUGCUUUUUUCUAGGCGUCGACCGGCGCACGGGUGAGUAACGCGUAUCCAACCUGCCCAUCACUUGGGGAUAACCUUGCGAAAGUAAGACUAAUACCCAAUGAUAUCUCUAGAAGACAUCUGAAAGAGAUUAAAGAUUUAUCGGUGAUGGAUGGGGAUGCGUCUGAUUAGCUUGUUGGCGGGGUAACGGCCCACCAAGGCGACGAUCAGUAGGGGUUCUGAGAGGAAGGUCCCCCACAUUGGAACUGAGACACGGUCCAAACUCCUACGGGAGGCAGCAGUGGGGAAUAUUGGUCAAUGGACGAGAGUCUGAACCAGCCAAGUAGCGUGCAGGAUGACGGCCCUAUGGGUUGUAAACUGCUUUUAUAAGGGAAUAAAGUGAGUCUCGUGAGACUUUUUGCAUGUACCUUAUGAAUAAGGACCGGCUAAUUCCGUG